UACGUAGGGGGCAAGCGUUGUCCGGAAUCAUUGGGCGUAAAGAGCGCGUAGGCGGCCCGAUAAGUCCGCUGUGAAAGUCAAGGGCUUAACCCUUGAAUGCCGGUGGAAACUGUCGGGCUAGAGUCCGGAAGAGGCGAGUGGAAUUCCUGGUGUAGCGGUGAAAUGCGCAGAUAUCAGGAGGAACACCGGUGGCGAAGGCGGCAUCCUGGACCGGCAUUGACGCUGAGGCGCGAAAGCCAGGGGAGCAAACGGG
rnacentral:rRNA from 1 species